GGGUUUCCCUGGGUAGAUGAGAGAGGAGCAGGGCUCCCAGCUCUUUCCCAGUGCCAGCGCUGUAGAUUUGACACUGGAGUGGAACUAGUCGGGGAGAGGUGACAGCAACAGCUUGGUCCUACUUCCUCUCUUCCUCCUCACACAUUGCUGAUGCAGUUGGCCAGGGCAGGGGCUGCAUGAUGUACCCCCUCCCAUGCAAUUCUAGCAGCACUGGUGGGGGAUGGAGGAGGAAUGUUUGUUUUCCUGCAGCUGCCAUGGGCACACUUGUACCAUGACAGCUGCCUAUUGUGAAUCCCAGCCAGGCCCAUCCUUGCUUCAGGCAGGACUGAAAAUGUCAACAAGCAGAGCCAGCCGCAGCAAUUCCUACAUUAGCCCAGGAAACAACAUCACCCCUUAACCCUAAAUGUAAUCAUUUUCUGGUCACCAUGAUCAUCUCAUUGCACACAGGGCCGAGCUAAGGGUUUUGGGGAGGGUUAGAGAGGCUAAUGGGUUGCGCCGGCUCUGCCUGGCCUACACUCAAUGUUGUAUUUGUUUGACCAAAGGUAUGAUGUUAAGUUAAGGCAAAACCUUGUGUGGAUACUCUUAAUUCGAUUUCAGCUAGGUUCAUAUUAUUUUGUCUUCCAUUGGUAAAUGUAGAAGUGCAAAUAAAACUGCUCUAAAGCCAGUUUUAAACUAAUAUAAGCGCUGGUUUAAACACAAACUUGCACUGAAAUAACUAAAUUAAUUUUAAAUCACACCUUUUUGUUAUUUGGGAACAAGUCUGUGAAUCUGUGCAUGAAGACACUUAUUUCGGAAUAAAAGUCACCUAUUUCGAUAUGGUUUAUAUCAUUACAUAAUUUCAUUAUCAUCUAAAAGCUGAGGAAAUGGAGUUAGAAAAGGCUUUGUUCACACAGACCCUGGUGAAUGGCUUUUGGCAGCAGAAAGACCAUGCAAGUGAAACUGAGAUAGAAAGCAGCUGUAAUUUACUCCUAGUGGGGACCCACAGUGAGCCAAUGAAUCCUGAAGCAUGGGCAGCACUGAGUGGGGGUUGAGUGGCCAGCCAGUAUGUCCCUUCAGCAGACUCCUCCUGUGAGGUUUCUAUGGAGCAGCUGAUAGGGGACUACUGGGCCAGUCCUGGAAACUGAUGUAGGGUUGAGUCUCCACUGCAGGGUGUUGGGUCCAGCUGUCAAAGAGAAGCACAGCUGUCAAAGAGUUGCAGUGGCGGGAGGGGGAGUUAUUUAUUAGUUUAUGUAUUUAUAAGAUUUUCUGUGACACUCAUCACCAAGAUAUUUGAGCGCAUCAGGGCACGCAAUAAGGUCGGGACAUAUUAUUGACACCAUUUUGAUAGAUAAGGGCAUGAACCUCAGAGUACUUGAUUAAGCAAAGUACUGAAACGUGCUUAACUUUAAGCCCACAAGGAGUCUCAAUCAAUAUCAUAUCAAUGUGCUCAAGUACCUUGCUGAAUUGGAGUGAGAGAGAUUAAGGCCCAGCUUCUCAAAGGUAUUUAGACACCUAAAUACCUCUGAGGAUGUCAUGUUAAGUGACUUACACAUGAAAUCUGUGGCAGAGCCAGGCCCUGAACCCAGCCCUACUGACUCACACUAGUGCCUAACCACUUUGGCCCAUAGUGAUUAGGUUCCAAGGGCAAUUAGUGAACAAAUGAUAAUUCUGAGGAGUCAAUAAUAUUUUCCAACCCAAUAAUACUGGAAUACAAAUAAUAUUCAUAUAGAAGACAAAUUGUCAGUCCUGUUAUCAUCUAGAGUUUAACUUCAUCUAAUAUUUUUUUCUACUAUGAUACUGCAAAUGAGGAAAAAUAACACCGGUAGUUGACAGCCUGAAAGAUAUAGGAUGUCCUUAAGAGUUCAAUAUGAAAUGAGCCAUUAGCAACCAAAUAUCCUAUAGCAUCCAGAACAAUUUGCAGCCAAAAUCCAUAGAACAAUAGAGCAAUUCGGAGCUCUCAGAGAUUUGCAUUAUGAUUUCUCUGGAGUAGUCAGUCAUAUUGAUUUCACAAGUGGACUUUCUAUUUACCAUGUUGCAAGUACAACAUAUAUUAGAUCCACCUUUAUUUGUAAAGCACUUGAUUGAAGCUGCAUCAAAGGAAUUAUGCUUUUCAUCAGGUGUUUUAUUGGCAGCGGAGCUGGGAGCAGUAACACUAUAUUCUGAACCUUUUUCUUGCAUAGAAUAGUUAUAUGCAUAGAAUAGUUAUAUGCGUAUUAUUUGUGCCACCUUAUUCAGGGCUCUGGACAUGAUGGAAACUUGAGAAGAAGCAUUGCACAUCUGCACCUUUAGUUGGCGUAGCAAACAAGAAGCUGUUCUCCACCUUGGGCCAACAAGGGGAGACAACCUGUUUUCAAGAAUGGGCCGACAUCGGGGCUUCUGAAUUUUGUUGCUCCAGGUCCAGCAGUUUUUAUGAAACUGGACAACUGUUGCAUUCAUGAAUACACUUGGCAGCCUAUUACUUACUCUCUUCAGCUUCACUUCAUGGUUGUAGCUCCUGCGGCUGUGGCACCAUCAAGAGGCUGGAAAUUCUGGAGGCCAUGGAGAGAGCAGAGGAAGAAAGAAGAGAGAACGUAAGAUCCGCAUGAGCAAGAGAGUGGUGAUCAAGAGGGAAUGGGGAUGAUGCUGGAAAAGAACGGGACAGGACAGGAGAUGUUAUUUUACAAAGAAACUGAAAAGGCCAAAGAAGGAGGGAGACUUUUAAAAAAACACACCAGAAAAUAGAAUGAAAUUAAAAGAAGGACAUGGAGAUGGAUAGAGCAAGUCAGAGGUGGAAGAAGAGACAAAUGGGAUACAGAAAUGGGAGAAGGCAGGAAAAGCAAGGAGAGAUACAUGCUGCUUUUAGCCCAUCUGCUACAGUGUGACAUGGUCACUCACGCUUGGACAGGUCUGACACUCCAUCCAGUACAGGGCAAUGGUACACAUACACGAGUCGGUGCAGCUUCAAACAAAUCGAAGCGAGGAUUUAUGUCAAGACAAAUAACAAUUGGCAGUUAACAACACAAAAGAAGCACGUUCACUAAAAAAGACCUAAACCACAAUUGUUAUCCCUUUAUCAUUCAUUAGUAAAUAAAAAA